rnacentral:tRNA from 1 species
GCCCGGUUAGCUCAGCCGGUAGAGCGUUGGGACUUUUAAUCCAAAGGCCAAGGGUUCAAAUCCCUUAUCGGGCU